UUUGCACAGCCAGGCUGCACCAGAAAUGCCAGGAGUCUCUCUGAGAUUCCAAGGCUGGUCCCAAGAUCUUCUUUAUCUUCCCCUCCCUCCCCCCAUUCUUAGUUAAUCAGUAUUCAAGAACUGUACCCCAGUGGCACUGUGAAUAGACACAGCUGCUAAAAGAGUCCAGAGCUGCCAGACACAAGCCAGAAUGAAGCUGUACAACCAGCCCCCCGGAGAAUGGGCCUGAGCUCUGCUUCUCUGGCGUGAGCUUGCUCUGCUCUGAAACAAUUGGAUCUGGCCUUCUCUCAGGUAGCAGGUUCCAAUCUCUUGUGGAAAGGAGUUCUGCAGGUAAUUCAGCCUACAGAAUAGAAGAUGCCAACCAAGAUACUAUCGGGGUCCUUGUGCAGCUGAUCACGGAGAAGAAAGAGAACGCUGCAGCCCUGGAGGAGCUGCUGAAGGAGUACCACAGCAAACAGGU